CGCGUAGGCGGGCUAUUAAGUUGGGGGUGAAAUUCCGAGGCUUAACCUCGGAACUGCCUUCAAAACUGGUAGCCUUGAGGUAUGGAGAGGGAAGUGGAAUUCCAGGUGUAGCGGUGAAAUGCGUAGAUAUCUGGAGGAACACCCGUGGCGAAGGCGGCUUCCUGGCCAUAUCCUGACGCUGAGGUGCGAAAGCUAGGGGAGCGAACGG
rnacentral:rRNA from 1 species